rnacentral:rRNA from 1 species
UACAGAGGUCCCAAGCGUUGUUCGGAUUCAUUGGGCGUAAAGCGCGUGUAGGCGGCUCGGCAAGUCGGAUGUGAAAGCCCUGGGCUUAACCUAGGAAGUGCAUUCGAAACUGCCGAGCUGGAGUUCUGGAGAGGAAGGCGGAAUUCUCGGUGUAGAGGUGAAAUUCGUAGAUAUCGAGAGGAACACCGGUGGCGAAGGCGGCCUUCUGGACAGAAACUGACGCUGAGACGCGAAAGCGUGGGGAGCAAACAGG